rnacentral:rRNA from 1 species
UACAGAGGGUGCGAGCGUUGUCCGGAAUCACUGGGCGUAAAGGGCGCGUAGGCGGCCUGAUAAGUCGGGGGUGAAAUCCUGUGGCUUAACCACAGGGCUGCCUCCGAGACUGUCGGGCUCGAGCACAGUAGAGGCAGGUGGAAUUCCCGGUGUAGCGGUGGAAUGCGUAGAGAUCGGGAAGAACAUCGGUGGCGAAGGUGGCCUGCUGGGCUGUUGCUGACGCUGAGGCGCGACAGCGUGGGGAGCAAACAGG